CAUAAUGCCCCACCCAGCUUCCGGCACCUUUCGCCACUCCAGCACAAACCGAAACAGCUUUGCGAUCUCGCCAGCAUGCAGAGUCUGAUGUCUUCCCUAUAGAUGAUUCCAGAGACUCUGUGAAGCCACUAUUACAAGGUGAGACGCUUUGCGUUGAUUGGUGCUGCUGGACCACACUGGAGGUGCGAGUCCGCUGUGUAAUGGUUUAUGCCAUUACAAAGGAGCUGGCCUCUGUACUCAACUGGGCAGGGAAAAAACCAAGGACCAGACAAAGCAAAAAAGGGCAUUUAAAGAGACAGCGCCGUGCAGAUGCAUAUUUGGUAAGUUUUAACAUUUAUUGUAGUUUUAUGAGCCUAAAGUGAACAAUAAAGGGAUCAAUUGAUGUGCUGGGUGCGUUUCACAUUUCCUAUGUCUGUUUUUUGCUAUAUUACUUUGUCUUUCUUAAUAACAAGACUUUCAUGUCCAGUUAAUCUGGAGAUGGAGUCUUUGGUCUUCGGCUUGUU